rnacentral:sRNA from 1 species
AUGGCGUGUCUUACAUGUAAAUCAUUGGAUCUGGAAUUAAGGAAAGAGUGUCUUUUAAGCUCGAUAUGGCUACAUCAAAUUACGAUUCUACCUCGGAGACCACCAACCUUGCUCGAAUUAGAGUCGUACAUUGGAAGUUCCACUGAUCACCAGGACGCUGUGAUACAGCUUAAGUCGUGUUCUAUGGACCCUGAAGUAAAACAGGACUUCAUCGACAGAUUGUUGGUUGUUGAAAAACUACAAGAAACUGUUGAAAACCUCGAACGGGUUUGCAAACCAUAUGUUCAUUCUUCUUUUCAGAGAAAAUCGAAGUUUUGGAAAAUGCAAGAGUUCCAUUUGCAAUCAAAAAGCCCAUUCCUACGUGACGUUUGUUGGCGUUCCGGGCUCAGGAAAGACGGCUACAGCACGUCACAUAGCGCUAAAGCUACAAAACGAAGGAUACGAAAUCUAAACAUUAAAGAUAUCAAAGACAUAGAAACUUACUGUGAUCCCCGCAAUCCACAAGUGUUUGUCAUUGAUGAUGUGCUAGGCAAGUUUGGGUUGGACAACGCAGCGUUCAGUUUGUUAAGCAGGUAUGAAGAUACUUUGGUAAACCCUACCAUGUCAAAAACCAAGGUCCUUAUGACAUGCCGAGAGAUAGUAUAUAAACACGAAACUCUUGCAGAAAGUUUUCUGAGCAAAGAAGAUAAUGUCGUAUUGUUACAUGGUAAUGAAAUUGCGCUAAAUGAUCAGGACAAACGCGAUCUGAUGACUAAAUAUCAGUUGGAUACAAAUAUUUUGUCACAAGAAGAUCUGGCAUCAUCAUCACAUAUGUUUCCUUUGUUGUGCAAAUUGUUUUCAACUAGGUAUAGCAUUUAUGGUCCGAAGUUCUUUGUUCUUCCAAUUCCCUGCAUAUUGAAUGAACUUAAUGGUAUGAAAACCUUGUACAAAUUACAGUAUGCCUCAUUAGUUUUACUGAUGGCAAAUCAAAACAAAUUGUCAGAAGAAAUUUUAGAGAGUGGUAAUAGUACUUACAAAGGAAACAUAAUUAGUGAAAAGAAAUGCAGAUUCCUAAAGGAAUGUAAAGUAAAGACAAACACAGAGAGCUUCGAGUUCAUUGAUGCUUUGUCAGAAAUGGAGGGAACUUACACAAAGAAAUGUGAAAGUGAGUUUACCUUUAUUCAUGACUCCAUGUUCGAAAUCGUUGCUUAUCAUUUUGGUCAUCGGUGUCGAAAGCUUAUGUUGGAGUAUAUGAGCAGUGACUACAUAGCCAAUUACAUCAAAGUAAACACAUUCGAUGCUCAUAAAAUGGAAGGUGAAAGUAAAAUAAUGCCUAAAGAUGACCAACAACAUAAACCGGAAGCUGAAACAAAUGUGAUCGAUUUAUCUAUUGAAUUGACAGAAGACACUUUGUUGCAAAUGUUAGGCAAUGACAGACUACAUUAUCUGCUGAGUCAGGGAAGGUACACGAUGCGGAUGGACAUGGCAGACUUCGACAACCAAACACGUUACGUCAAGUACAGCUAUUUUAACGUGAGAGACGAGGCAUCAAAGUAUAAAGUGACCUUAUCCGGGUACUCUGGGGACAUUGGUGAUUGUUUUACAACAGAUCGAGGAGUUAACCACAUGAUGUUUUCCACAAAAUACCAAGACAACGAUAUACAAGAAAAUAUAACGUGUGCGGUCGUGUACCAAUCAAGCUGGUGGCACAGAAAAUGCCACUGUGCCAAUCCUAAUGGCAAAUACCUAGCUGGACGCAACGAUAAGUUCGGUGUAGGAAUAACUUAUGAAGCAUGGCGGGGUCAAAAGUACUCAUUGAAAUUCACCCAGUUCAUGGUUAAAAAAGUUUAA